GUAGGGAAUCUUGCACAAUGAGGGAAACCUUGAUGCAGCGACGCCGCGUGCGGGACGAAGGCCCUAGGGUUGUAAACCGCUUUCAGUAGGGACGAAAGUGACGGUACCUACAGAAGAAGCCCCGGCCAACUAUGUGCCAGCAGCCGCGGUGAUACAUAGGGGGCAAGCGUUGUCCGGAUUUACUGGGCGUAAAGAGCUCGUAGGCGGUUUGCCAAGUCAGAAGUGAAAUCUCCAUGCUCAACAUGGAGCGGCCUUUUGAAACUGGUAUGACUUGAGUACGGUAGAGGAGUGUGGAAUUCCCGGUGUAGCGGUGAAAUGCGCAGAUAUCGGGAGGAACACCUAUGGCGAAGGCAGCACUCUGGGCCGAAACUGACGCUGAGGAGCGAAAGCGUGGGGAGCGAACAGGAUUAGAAACCCCAGUAGUCC
rnacentral:rRNA from 1 species